rnacentral:rRNA from 1 species
CCUACGGGAGGCAGCAGUGGGGAAUAUUGCACAAUGGGGGUAACCCUGAUGCAGCGACGUCGCGUGAGUGAAGAAGUAUCUCUGUACGUAAAGCCCUUUCAGCAGGGAAGAAAAUGACGGUACCUGACUAAGUAGCCCCGUCUAACUACGUUCCAGCAGCCCCGGUACUACGGAGGGGGCAAGCGUUAUCCGGAUUUACUGGGCGUAAAGGGGGCGUAGACGGCAGCGUAAGUCUGCAGUGAAAUCGCAUGGCUCAACCAUGGAACUGCUUUGGAAACUGUGCAGCUAGAGUGCUGGAGAGGCAAGCGGAAUUCCUAGUGUAGCGGUGAAAUGCGUAGAUAUUAGGAGGAACACCAGUGGCGAAGGCGGCUUACUGGACUGUAACUGACGUUGAGGCUCGAAAGCGUGGGGAGCGAACAGGAUUAGAUACCCUAGUAGUC